rnacentral:siRNA from 1 species
CUAGGAAUGACAACAGAUGAGAG